AUGGAGUUCGACGAGUACGAUUACCUGGAGAAAUCGGUGGAGGUGUCCGCUGAGAUCCGGAAGGAGAAGGAGCGCCGGAGCUCCCGGCACGGUGGCGACCAUGAGAAGCACCGCAGAGGCGACGAGAGGGCGUCGAGGCGGUCGAGGGUGGAGGAGCAGCAGAAGGGCGAGAAGCUGGUUCUCGAGGAUCGGGAUCGCUCGCCGCGGCGCGAAAAGGAUCGCCACUGGAGCAGCAGGGUGGCGGAGAGGGAGCGUGACAGGGGUAGAGACCACCGUAGCCGAGAGAGGGAUCAGCGGGAAAGAGAUAAGGGGAAGGAGAAGGAGAGGGAUAGAGAGAAAGAGAGGGAAAGAGAGAAAGAGAAGGAGAGGGAGAGAGAGGAAGAUAGGGCGAGAAGGAGGGAGAGGGAAAAGGAGAAGGAGAGGGAAAGCGAGCGGGAGAGAGAGAGGGAUAGGAGAAGCAGCAGCAGAUCGAGAAGGCAUGACGGAGAGGUUGAAAGAGAGAUGGAGAGGGCGAGGAGUAGAGAUAGGGCAUUGAGAGAAAGAGAACCCGAGAGAGAGACCAAGGAAAGAGAGAGCAAGAGGUUCAAGGAGAAAAAAGAAGUGGUGGAACCUGAAGCAGAUCCAGAAAGGGACCAGAGGACUGUUUUUGCUUAUCAGAUGCCUUUGAAGGCGGCCGAGAGAGAUGUUUAUGAGUUCUUCUCAAAAGCAGGAAAGGUGAGGGAUGUGCGCUUGAUUAUGGAUCGGAAUUCAAGGCGUUCAAAGGGAGUAGGUUACAUCGAGUUUUAUGAUGCAAUGUCAGUGCCAAUGGCAAUAGCUCUUUCUGGUCAACUUCUUCUUGGUCAACCAGUGAUGGUCAAACCUUCGGAAGCAGAAAAGAAUCUUGUUCAAUCAAAUUCUACUGGGAUGGGUGUUGUAGGAGCAGCUGCUGCAAGAAAAAUUUAUGUUGGAAACCUUCCCUUAAGCAUUACAGAAGAUCAGCUUCGUCAGGUCUUUGAGCCUUUUGGUCCAGUGGAACUUGUGCAACUACCGGUGGAUCUAGAAACGGGGCAAUGCAGAGGUUAUGGAUUCAUUCAAUUUGCUCAAGUUGAACAUGCAAAGGCAGCUCAGAGUUUGAAUGGAAAGCUGGAAAUUGCUGGACGGGUCAUCAAGGUAUCAUCUGUCACAGAUCAUGUUGGUGGGCAGGAUGCUGGGGCAAACGCUGCUGACUUUGAGGAGGAUGAUGGUGUUGGUUUGUCUUUGAAUGCUCAAUCUAGAGCUUUACUCAUGCAGAAAUUGGAUAGAACUGGAACCGCCUCAAGUAUUGCAGGGUCACUUGGAGUGCCUGUGCUUAAUGGAGCUGUUCCAAAUCAGCAGGCCUUAAGCUUGCCAAUGAAUGGGCAGGUCAGGGUGCCUGCAGUCCUUCCAGCACUAGCUUCCCCUCUCACUGAACCUAUUGGGGAGCCUAGUGAGUGUGUUAUAUUGAAGAAUAUGUUUGAUCCAAGCACUGAGAUGGAUCCAGAUUUUGAUUUAGAGGAAGUAGAAGAAGAAUGUUCCAAGUUUGGUCCGGUUAAGCAUAUAUUUGUGGACAAGAACAGCUUUGGUCAUGUGUAUUUGAGGUUUCAUUCCGUGGCAGCAGCUGCUAGUUGUCAGCAAGCGAUGCACAUGAGAUGGUAUGCACGGAGGUCUAUAUCUGCAACAUUCAUGGUAUGAGUCUGGCUCGUUACACACUGUUGUUUUAAAACAAACGUCACUAUCACACAAUGAAGUACUUAAUAUAUAAAAGGAGAUCUGGAGAAAUCAGGAUCGUAUCAAUAGUUCUAAGGAACUAAUUCAUUCAGUUUCUCCGCCAAUCUGAUAUUCCAUGCGAGUGUUGAAUGGCACCAGAGGUGGUAUUCCGUGGGAAGUUCAGAUUGCCAGGUGGCUCUUGGUGGAGAGGCAGAAGCGGCCCCAAGAGUAUGAAGCCAAAUUCAGGAGUGUUUCUUAAACUUCUGAAGGUUACGCAGCGUCAUCGUGUGCUGGUGCUGUGCUUGACGAAUUUAGAAAUCGAAGCUCUUAAAUGGCUCCCACCUUUGUUAACGAAUGAGGUUGUAUCUGUAAUUGAGUCUACGGACCUUAGAAUAUUAGCUUCUCCCAGUUUUUAAAAUUUGCUUAUUUGACGGAAAUAUUGGGAGCAAGAAGUAUCUAAGUCAAAGGUAUCUCCAAAAAAAAAGGCAGUCCUGCCAAAAGCGGUUGAGCUCAUUGAGUUUUAUCGCAAGCAGCUUGUUCAAGUUGGAGAGGGACGGCUCAUGGCCUUGCUCUAUGGUUUCUAUUAGAUAGUCGAUGAAUUUGGGCUAUCUGCAUUGACCUCGGUGAACAAUUUAUUCUACAUAUUAUAGACCUUCCUAGAAUAGAGGCCUGUGGCCAGAACAAUUCCUUUUGGUCUGCUUUGCGGGGAAAGGUAUGAGAUUGUGUCGGCAGGGAUGUUGUGGAUGAAUGCCAUUUUUGCUUGUUAAUGAAUGAAUUAAAUUUUCAAA